UUUAUGCAUUAAGAGCAGGAUUAAUUUCCUCUCCAACCUGCCAACUCCGGUAAGGUGGAAAAAAUGAUGCGGUUAACCAACAACUAUAGGAGCUAAA
rnacentral:ncRNA from 1 species